UUCUUAUUGGAUGAUGACUGUCUCGUGUCAUGUUUUGAUUGAAAUUCAACUCCAUGAAAAUAAAAUACAUUGUUUUUGUCAUUGAUCAAUUAGAACAUGACAUGUGACAGUCAUCAUCC
rfam:Glycine max cultivar Williams 82 chromosome 6, whole genome shotgun sequence.